rnacentral:rRNA from 1 species
GACGAACGCUGGCGGCGUGCUUAACACAUGCAAGUCGAACGGAAAGGCCCUGCUUUUGUGGGGUGCUCGAGUUGCGAACGGGUGAGUAACACGUGAGUAACCUGCCCUUGACUUUGGGAUAACUUCAGGCAACUGAGGCUAAUAGCGGAUAGGAUCUCCUGCUGCAUGGUGGGGGCUGGAUAGAUUCGGCGGUUGGGGAUGGACUCGCGGCUUAUCAGCUUGUUGGUGGGGUAGUGGCUGACCAAGGCUUUGACGGGUAGCCGGCCUGAGAGGGUGACCGGCCACCAUGGGACUGAGAUACGGCGCAGACUACUACGGGAGGCAGCAGUGGGGAAUAUUGCACAAUAGGCGGAAGCAUGAUGCAGCAACGCCGCGUGCGGGAUGACGGACUUCGGGUUGUAAACCGCUUUCGCCUGUGACGAAGAGUGUGUGACGGUAAGGGGUAAAGAAGCACCGGCUAACUACG